GUGGGGAAUAUUGGACAAUGGGCGAAAGCCUGAUCCAGCCAUGCCGCGUGUGUGAAGAAGGUCUUCGGAUUGUAAAGCACUUUAAGUUGGGAGGAAGGGCAGUAAGUUAAUACCUUGCUGUUUUGACGUUACCGACAGAAUAAGCACCGGCUAACUUCGUGCCAGCAGCCGCGGUAAUACGAAGGGUGCAAGCGUUAAUCGGAAUUACUGGGCGUAAAGCGCGCGUAGGUGGUUUUGUAAGUUGGAGGUGAAAUCCCCGGGCUCAACCUGGGAACUGCCUCCAAAACUGCAUGUCUAGAGUACGGUAGAGGGUAGUGGAAUUUCCUGUGUAGCGGUGAAAUGCGUAGAUAUAGGAAGGAACACCAGUGGCGAAGGCGACUACCUGGACUGAUACUGACACUGAGGUGCGAAAGCGUGGGGAGCAAACAGGAUUAGAUACCCUAGUAGUCC
rnacentral:rRNA from 1 species